UACGUAGGGUGCAAGCGUUAAUCGGAAUUACUGGGCGUAAAGCGUGCGCAGGCGGUUUGUUAAGUCUGAUGUGAAAGCCCCGGGCUCAACCUGGGAACUGCAUUGGAAACUGGCAAGCUCGAGUAUGGCAGAGGGGGGUGGAAUUCCGCGUGUAGCAGUGAAAUGCGUAGAUAUGCGGAGGAACACCGAUGGCGAAGGCAAUCCCCUGGGCCUGCACUGACGCUCAUGCACGAAAGCGUGGGGAGCAAACAGG
rnacentral:rRNA from 1 species